ensembl:lncRNA
GCCUCUCCGGGACCCCCAGGAGCGCACUGACAGAGCUCUCCCCAGGCAGGGCAGGUCACGGCAGCAGCACACAGCCGAACAGACCUAGCACGGUUCACGGGGAUGAACCCUAACCUCAGGCUGAGUGAAGGAACAGCUGACGGAGGUGCUACGCAGUCAGAGAAGCCAAGUGAGGGUGUACGUGUUCUGCAGAUGUCGUCAGAACAGAGCACAGCCUUCAACACUGCUCCCCUGCAUCACCUCACAAAGGAUUCUUCUGUGUGCCUGGCUUGUUUUCCCAACGCUUGGCUUACAAAGGCCCUGGAAGAAAGCCGAGUGAAAGUGCCUGCUGACCUCUCCUGCCGACAGCCCCUGUUGCUCAUCUCAACUGCAUCUGAUAGAACACAGCACAUUCCUUUAAAUAUUUUAUCCACUCAGUGAUCAUGGGUGAAAGAUAGAACUAACAAGAAAUGACAAGUGAAAUAACUACAUUUCCGGACCUGACAACACUCUUUAUUUCUAAUUCUACCAAGGCUGUGGGCAGGCAUUAGGGUACAGCUUUUAUGAGAGAUUAAAUAAGUGAUCUUAGCAUUCAAGUUAUAGUACACACAUCCCGACCUGAGAGUUCACUCGGAAACAGGAGGAAGUGAAAGAAAACAGAGACACCCGAACAAAGCAUAAAGAAACAGACUGGACUGACGACAGGAUAAGGUAUCCAACUCCACUAAAUGAGUUACAGCAAAAUCUCCCAGUAAAAUAUUUCCAGGAAGAGUUUUGUACGCUGUGUCGAAAAUACCAAACUGCAGUGGGUUGUAAAUAGUCCAAUGGAUGCUUCCACAGAAAGUUCUAAAAGGCCAUCGUAUCACACUGCACUGCUAUUAAUACAAUCUCCGCCAAAAUAUUGUUUCAAAUCCC